CCAGAGAUUAGAGUUUGAUCCUGGCUCAGAUUGAACGCUGGCGGCAGGCCUAACACAUGCAAGUCGAACGGUAACAGGAAGAAGCUUGCUUCUUUGCUGACGAGUGGCGGACGGGUGAGUAAUGUCUGGGAAACUGCCUGAUGGAGGGGGAUAACUACUGGAAACGGUAGCUAAUACCGCAUAACGUCGCAAGACCAAAGAGGGGGACCUUCGGGCCUCUUGCCAUCGGAUGUGCCCAGAUGGGAUUAGCUAGUAGGUGGGGUAACGGCUCACCUAGGCGACGAUCCCUAGCUGGUCUGAGAGGAUGACCAGCCACACUGGAACUGAGACACGGUCCAGACUCCUACGGGAGGCAGCAGUGGGGAAUAUUGCACAAUGGGCGCAAGCCUGAUGCAGCCAUGCCGCGUGUAUGAAGAAGGCCUUCGGGUUGUAAAGUACUUUCAGCGGGGAGGAAGGGAGUAAAGUUAAUACCUUUGCUCAUUGACGUUACCCGCAGAAGAAGCACCGGCUAACUCCGUGCCAGCAGCCGCGGUAAUACGGAGGGUGCAAGCGUUAAUCGGAAUUACUGGGCGUAAAGCGCACGCAGGCGGUUUGUUAAGU
rnacentral:rRNA from 1 species